rnacentral:rRNA from 1 species
GAUGAACGCUGGCGGCGUGCCUAAUACAUGCAAGUCGAGCGAACAGACGAGGAGCUUGCUCCUCUUACGUUAGUGGCGGACGGGUGAGUAACACGUGGAUAACCUGCCUAUAAGACUGGGAUAACUUCGGGAAACCGGAGCUAAUACCGGAUAAUAUAUUAUACCGCAUGUUUCAAUAUUGAAAGACGCUUUUGCUGUCACUUAUAGAUGAAUCCGCGUGGAAUUAGCUAGUUGGUAAGGUAACGGUUUACUAAGCCGACGUUGAGUAGCCGCCCUGAGAGGUGGACCGGCAACACUGGAACGGAGAACCGGCCAAGAUCCCACCGGGAGCAACAAGUAGGGAAUCUUGCGAAAGGGGCGAAAGCCUGCCGGAGAAAGGCCGCGUGGGUGAUGAAGUUCUUGGGAUGUUAAGCUCUGGUUAUAAGCGAGGACGAAAGGUGUAAGUAAAAAUGCACGCCUUGACGGUAGCUAACCAGAAAGCGACGGCUAACUACGUG